rnacentral:rRNA from 1 species
UAGGGAAUCUUCCGCAAUGGACGAAAGUCUGACGGAGCAACGCCGCGUGAGUGAAGAAGGUUUUCGGAUCGUAGAACUCUGUUGUCAGAGAAGAACAAGUUGGAGAGUAACUGCUCCAGCCUUGACGGUAUCUGACCAGAAAGCCACGGCUAACUACGUGCCAGCAGCCGCGGUAAUACGUAGGUGGCAAGCGUUGUCCGGAUUUAUUGGGCGUAAAGCGAGCGCAGGCGGUUCCUUAAGUCUGAUGUGAAAGCCCACGGCUCAACCGUGGUAGGUCAUUGGAGACUGGGGAACUUGAGUGCAGAAGAGGAGAGUGGAAUUCCAUGUGUAGCGGUGAAAUGCGUAGAUAUAUGGAGGAACACCAGUGGCGAAGGCGACUCUCUGGUCUGUAACUGACGCUGAGGCUCGAAAGCGUGGGGAGCAAACAG